AGAGUUUGAUCCUGGCUCAGAAUUAACGCUGGCGGCAUGCCUAACACAUGCAAGUCGUACGAGAAACCCCCUUUCGGGGGGGAGUACAGUGGCGCACGGGUGAGUAACGCGUGGGUAAUCUACCUCGGUCCGGGGGAUAACGCACCGAAAGGUGCGCUAAUACCGCAUAACCCGGCGAAUCUUCGGAUUGGUCGGCAAAGGUGGCCUCUACUUGUAAGCUACCGCUUGAAGAUGGUCCCGCGUCCGAUUAGCUAGUUGGCGGGUAACGCCCACAAGGCGACGAUSGGUAGCUGGUCUGAGAGGAUGGUCAGCCACACUGGGACUGAGAUACGGCCCAGACUCCUACGGGAGGCAGCAGUCGAGAGGCUUYGGCAAUGGGGGAAACCCUGACCAAGCGACGCCGCGUGGAGGAUGAAGGCCUUUGGGUUGUAAACUCCUUUUGUCGGGGAAGAAAUGCGAUCAGGUGAACAAUCUGGUCGUUUGACGGUACCCGGCGAAUAAGCUCCGGCUAACUCCGUGCCAGCAGCCGCGGUAAUA
rnacentral:rRNA from 1 species